rnacentral:rRNA from 1 species
GAUGAACGCUGGCGGCGUGCCUAAUACAUGCAAGUCGAGCGAACAGAUAAGGAGCUUGCUCCUUUGACGUUAGCGGCGGACGGGUGAGUAACACGUGGGUAACCUACCUAUAAGACUGGAAUAACUCCGGGAAACCGGGGCUAAUGCCGGAUAACAUGUUGAACCGCAUGGUUCUACAGUGAAAGGCGGCUUUGCUGUCACUUAUAGAUGGACCCGCGCCGUAUUAGCUAGUUGGUGAAUUAAAAGCUCACCAAGGCAACGAUCAGUAGCCGGCUUGAGAGAGUGUACGGCCACAUUGGGACUGAGACACGGCCCAGACUCCUACGGGAGGCAGCAGUGGGGAAUUUUGCACAAUGGGGGAAACCCUGAUGCAGCGACGCCGCGUGAUUUAGAAGGCCUUCGGGUUGUAAAAAUCUUUUGUAUAGGAAGAAAAUGACAGUACUAUACGAAUAAGGUCCGGCUAAUUACGUGCCAGCAGCCGCGGUAAUACGUAAGGACCGAGCGUCGUCCGGAAUCAUUGGGCGUAAAGGGUACGUAGGCGGGUUUUUAAGUUAGAAGUCAAAGGCUAUAGCUCAACUAUAGUAAGCUUCUAAAACUGGAAACCUUGAGAGAUGGAAGGGAAAGUGGAAUUCCUAGUGUAGCGGUGGAAUGCGCAGAUAUUAGGAGGAAUACCGGUGGCGAAGGCGACUUUCUGGCCAUUUUCUGACGCUGAGGUACGAAAGCGUGGGUAGCAAACAGGAUUAGAUACCCUGGUAGUCCACGCCGUAAACGAUGAGUGUUAGGUGUCUGGAGUAAAUCUGGGUGCCGCAGCUAACGCAUUAAACACUCCGCCUGGGGAGUACGCACGCAAGUGUGAAACUCAAAGGAAUUGACGGGGACCCGCACAAGCAGCGGAGCAUGUGGUUUAAUUCGAAGCAACGCGAAGAACCUUACCAAGUCUUGACAUAUUACGGAGGGCCUCUAGAGAUAGAGCCUUACAUCUUCGGAUGACUGUAAUACGGGUGGUGCAUGGUUGUCGUCAGCUCGUGUCGUGAGAUGUUGGGUUAAGUCCCAUAACGAGCGCAACCCCUUUUGCUAGUUACCAUCAUUAAGUUGGGGACUCUAGCAAUACUGCCGGUGACAAACCGGAGGAAGGUGGGGAUGACGUCAAAUCAUCAUGCCCUUUAUGACUUGGGCUACACACGUGCUACAAUGGCAGGUACACAGGGCAGCUAGACAGUGAUGUCAUGCGAAACUCAAAAAGCCUGUCCCAGUUCGGAUUGCACUCUGCAACUCGAGUGCAUGAAGUUGGAGUUGCUAGUAAUCGUGGAUCAGAAUGCCGCGGUGAAUGCGUUCCCGGGUCU